rnacentral:rRNA from 1 species
GUGGUAGCAAUACUAUGAGUAAAGUGGCGCACGGGUGAGUAACACGUGACUAACCUACCCUUGAGUGGGGGAUAACUGAGGGAAACCUUAGCUAAUACCGCAUAAUACCCACGGGUCAAAGGAGCAAUUCGCUCGAGGAGGGGGUCGCGGCCGAUUAGUUAGUUGGCGGGGUAAUGGCCCACCAAGACGAUGAUCGGUAUCCGGCCUGAGAGGGCGCACGGACACACUGGAACUGAAACACGGUCCAGACUCCUACGGGAGGCAGCAGUGGGGAAUUUUGCGCAAUGGGGGAAACCCUGACGCAGCAACGCCGCGUGGAGGAUGAAGUCCUUCGGGACGUAAACUCCUUUCGAUCGGGACGAUUAUGACGGUACCGGAAGAAGAAGCCCCGGCUAACUUCGUGCCAGCAGCCGCGGUAAUACGAGGGGGGCGAGCGUUGUUCGGAAUUAUUGGGCGUAAAGGGUGCGUAGGCGGUUUGGUAAGUCUUUUGUGAAAUCUCUGGGCUCAACUCAGAGUCUGCAGGAGAAACUGCCGGGCUGGAGUGUGGGAGAGGUGAGUGGAAUUUCCGGUGUAGCGGUGAAAUGCGUAGAUAUCGGAAGGAACACCUGUGGCGAAAGCGGCUCACUGGACCACAACUGACGCUGAUGCACGAAAGCUAGGGGAGCAAACAGGAUUAGAUACCCUGGUAGUCCUAGCCCUAAACGAUGACUGCUUGGUGUGACGGGUACCCAAUCCCGCCGUGCCGUAGCUAACGCGUUAAGCAGUCCGCCUGGGGAGUACGGUCGCAAGGCUGAAACUCAAAGGAAUUGUCG